rnacentral:lncRNA from 1 species
CUUCGCUGGAGUGGUGGCGCAGCGCUCUCCUCGGGUAAACAUCCACCGUGAAGAAGAAAGAACGUCAGGAGCUAAGGUUUAGUUUAAACCUGUAGUUGCUGUUUGGAAAAUGAAGAUGCAGACCGCAGAUUGGUGGCUUAUAUGUUCUUCAUGCAAGGGCAGCAUGCUAAAGGAGAGAAGUUCUUGUAGAGUUAAUUCUGAGCCUGUUCUGGUUGUCAGAACUGCGCUGACCAGUGACUGAAAGCUGCGAGCAUUGGGACAGAUUGGCUGAAGACAAGGAAUUUCUAAGCAUUCCAUAUUGGAAGAAGAGAUUUUUAUAGAUGAAAAAAAUGCCUUUGUUUAGCAAAUCACACAAAAAUCCAGCAGAAAUUGUCAAAAUUCUGAAAGACAACCUGGCCAUUUUGGAAAAGCAGGACAAAAAGACAGACAAGGCUUCAGAAGAAGUGUCAAAGUCUCUGCAAGCGAUGAAGGAGCUCCUGUGUGGAGCACAGGACAAGGAGCCCCCCACAGAAGCAGUGGCUCAGCUGGCACAGGAGCUCUAUAGCAGCGGGCUGUUGGUGACACUCAUAGCUGAUCUGCAGCUCAUAGACUUUGAGGGAAAAAAAGAUGUGACCCAGAUAUUCAACAACAUCCUGAGAAGACAGAUUGGUACACGGUGUCCUACGGUGGAAUAUAUCUGUUCUC